GGGAAUGUAGCUCAGUGGUAGAGCACCUGCCUAGCAAGUGUGGCCCUGGGUAACAUCCCCAGCAUUGCAA
rnacentral:tRNA from 1 species